rnacentral:rRNA from 1 species
AUGGAGCCGAAGGAACCAUUGUUCCACAGCCGGCUGAUCCCCCCGAACGUCUUCAAGGUUUCCGUGGCCAGUGUCAAACCAGGCCAUGAGAAUUUUCCUCCUCCAAUACUAGUGGAGGAUGACGACGAGACACCGCGGCGGCUUGGUGAUUGUUGCAUUGGGUGGGUCCUGUUGUGGCCAAAGAGUCUGCUUCGUCUAGAGGCGGCCGGGAGCACACCCACGAGCACACAGCCUCAGCAAGGUAUGAACAUCAACACCCCACCUACCCAAUUAGCGUCGGGUGUCGGGUUGGCUGAUAGCGGACGGGGUAAGGAGGCUCCAUUAGUCGCUGAUGACGUCACCAUGGAUGAGGAUGAGGACGACGAUGGCGCUGAACAGUAUGUCUAUACUGGCGCCGCCUCAGGGUUUGAGCGUCAUGAGUCGGUGCCUAAAUUGCCGUCUCAACGUAUUUUGGACGACCUUCCGAUAGUAAAUAAGUCUAGGAAGAGAGCGAGGAAAGGCAAAAAAGCUGAUUCUAUGAUCCAGCCGCCUCAGCAGCCUCGGCUUCAGGACCGUAUAGAUAUCCCCGAUGCAGAUAAAUGGCAUAUCCCCAAUCAACCAAUCCUACCUGCAACAGCGCUACGGGUCAGAUUCGGCGAUCUAAGGAGACUUCAUGACGAUGUGCUGCGGGUAGAGAAAGGCCUCAUCGCCUCGAAAGAUCCAGGAUACCCACUCUAUGUGGUUAAUGUUCCGCGGCAAAUGUCGUACGUCGACAGCUUCCCCGUGGAUAAGUUCUUCCUCCGAUUCGAUUACAUAUUCGACAUGUUUCACGUGAAGAAGCUGGAUUUUACGUUUGCCCGCCUUUAUGCCUUGCACAUGAACUACAUCAUUGGGGUUGAGCAGAUAUCUCAUAUCUGUGUCGCUGACCCGUACUACAUGCACGAGGGCUUCUUGGGAGUCUGCGCAAAGCACCGUGAAUACGCGAGGGAUUACAUCGUCAGUUUCAUGCUCGCCAAUAAGGACAAGGAGGCGAUUCUCAUGCCUUAUCAUCCCGUGUAA